rnacentral:lncRNA from 1 species
AGCUGAACAUGAUCUAAGGCUUACUAAGUAUUUUGUAUACAUAACAUAAGGACUCAUCUAUACGAGGACAGCGAGGAGAGUUAACCGGAGUUACUUCUGAGAUGGUUGAUUCGAUUGCUGUGAAUCACUUUUCAGAUGGUCUCUGAGUUAAAGUGGCCUUAAUUCAUUUAAGGCUGACUGAAAUGAAGCCAAAUUAGGGCCUCUUUAUCUCUGAGUGUGAAGAUCAGCGCCCAGUUGUAGGCAAUUGACCAAAUUUGCUUUAAGUUUACAUUUUCCAUUGACUCGGGCUCCCUGUCUGACAGAUCUCUUUGGGC